AUGUCACGGAUUUACACACGAGGCUAUUAUGACUCUAUCACAGGAUCGUGUGUGUGUGUGUGUGUGUGUGUGUCUACGUGCGCGUGCGCGCGUGUCCGUGCAACCCGUACCAGUGUGCGUGCGCGUGUGGAUCUUGAGGUUCUCGGAGCGUGCGAACAUCUUGCCGCAGUUGGGGAACGCGCACGAGAAGGGCUUCUCGCCGGUGUGCACGCGGAUGUGGUUGAUGAGUUUGUACUUGGCUUUAAACGCCUUCCCGCCGCGCAGACACUCGUCCCACAUGCAGACGUGACUGAGGCUCUCGAGCCCCGCCGCGACAUGCUCGGUGGUGACGUGGUCCACCAGCUCGUGCAUGGAGCCGAAAGUUUGCUCGCAGACGGACGCCGCCGCCGCCGCCGCCCGCCCGAGCCGCUGCCGCCGCGGCGAAGUUCGGUCGAUCCACUUGCACACCAGCUCCGUCUUGACGACGGGGCCUUUGGAGAAAUCCAUCAGGCCGUCCGCGCCGACGCCGGCGCCGGCGCCGCAGUCGGCGGCGGCGGCGGCGGCGGGGGGGACGCCGGCGGCUCUCGGCGGCGGCGGCGCGAUGCUCGAGGCUCCGGAGUUGUUGUUGCCCAGCGGAGAGACGAGGCCAUUGUGCCUGGCCGCCGUCCGCUUCAUGCUCGGCGCGGCGGGCUGCCCCGCUUCCUUCUCUCGCCGAGCACAAUCCCUCUCCCCCCACCACCACCACCACCUCCUUCCAAAACGAGAAAUGGAGGAGAGAGAAAGAAAAAAAGAGUUAAAAUCCCACGGGCAGCGCGUUCGCCGCGUUCCCCUGCCUCCUCCCUGCGCGUUGUGGGCCGGAGAGAAGCGCGCAUGCGGCGGUGUGUCGACCCCCCGCUGCUCGGCGUUAGAUCCCGAGAGUCGGAGCCUCCAUGCUUUUAUUUACUGUGUGAAUGGAGGUGGACGGAGUCGAAGGAAUACAGCGCGCCGCGACCCAACACCGUGUGGUGGCGUCCUUGUCUCCUUUCCUUCUCCUCUGCUCCUCUCCUCUCUUCAUCUCCUUCCUCCCCCCCCACACACACACACACUACACGAACAAGUUAUUCCUAA
rnacentral:lncRNA from 1 species